rnacentral:rRNA from 1 species
GACGAACGCUGGCGGCGUGCUUAACACAUGCAAGUCGAACGGUAAGGCUCCAGCUUGCUGGGGUACACGAGUGGCGAACGGGUGAGUAACACGUGGGUGACCUGCCCUGCACUUCGGGAUAAGCCUGGGAAACUGGGUCUAAUACCGGAUAGGACCAUGGUGUGGAUACUGUGGUGGAAAGUUUUUUCGGUGUGGGAUGGGCCCGCGGCCUAUCAGCUUGUUGGUGGGGUAAUGGCCUACCAAGGCGGCGACGGGUAGCCGGCCUGAGAGGGUGGACGGCCACAUUGGGACUGAGACACGGCCCAGACUCCUACGGGAGGCAGCAGUGGGGAAUAUUGCACAAUGGGCGGAAGCCUGAUGCAGCGACGCCGCGUGGGGGAUGUCGGCCUUCGGGUUGUAAACUCCUUUCACCAUCGACGAAGGGUUUCUGACGGUAGAUGGAGAAGAAGCACCGGCUAACUACGUG